rnacentral:rRNA from 1 species
CACGUAGGGGGCGAGCGUUGUCCGGAUUUAUUGGGCGUAAAGAGCUCGUAGGCGGUUCGGUAAGUCGGGUGUGAAAACUCUGGGCUCAACUCAGAGACGCCACCCGAUACUGCUGUGACUUGAGUCCGGUAGGGGAGUGUGGAAUUCCCGGUGUAGCGGUGAAAUGCGCAGAUAUCGGGAGGAACACCAGUGGCGAAGGCGGCACUCUGGGCCGGAACUGACGCUGAGGAGCGAAAGCGUGGGUAGCGAACAGGAUUAGAAACCCCCGUAGUCC